rnacentral:lncRNA from 1 species
AGAAGACCUUGCUUGACAAUUAGGGAGGCUUUGGCUCCCAGAGGCAUAACACCAAGCCAGGAACCUCUUUCAGCUUCUGUCUCUGCCAGUCUGUUCUGGUCUGAGCUGGUCAGGCUUACACAGGCUUUGUACAGGGGCCAAAGAGGGACUGGACAGCCUAUUUCUUUGGGGCUGGUGGCUCCAACUCCAAAUUAGGGGUGUAGUGAAUGUCUUUCCAAGAAGCACACAGCAGGCUGGGCAAGCUGGUGAACUCUGGGAGCUAAGGAGAUGAAGACGAUUCAGGUUUGCGCUCAGCCCAGAGUCUCACCAUUUUAAGAUAAGAGGUUCAGGUCUGUGGAGCAACAUGAAGGCUGUUUCCAAAGGAUGGCAUCAUAUGAUUGCUGGAGCCUCCAACUCACUACGUAGUUAAAAAUGACCUUCAACUUCUAAGCCUCCUGGCUCCGCCUUUGUUGGGAUUACAGGCAAGUGCUGCCAUGUCUGGUUUCAUGUGGUGUUGGGGAUUGGAACCAGAGCUUCAUGC